AGAAAAUCACGAGCACGCCAUAUUGGCCUAAAAUUAUUGGCUAUACCAAAGGCAUAUCGAGAGUCUGUGUAAAUAUUAGCUGUCUUACCAGAGGCCAGUUUGCACGCUCAAUGAGUGCUUUCAGCUCAGCCUCAUGUGCAGAGCAGUGAGGGGCAAUUGGUUCAGCUUUAAUUACCUCAUGUGCAGAGACUACAGCAUAUCCAGUGUGGAAAUUAACCUUCUCAUCAGCAUAUCUGGAACGUCUACAGAAAACUCAAAGUCUGAAUUAGAUCAUGGAGAAUAAAUUACAUGCAAAAACACAGCUGUCUCUUGUGCCAUUAAUUCUGCACAGUCAUUAAUGCUAACUCAUCUGGUGACAGAGAUUUUCACAAAAAGAUCAGAACCACUACUAAUACUUCUCUCCUCUCCUUUGAAAUCCAGGGGAAGCAAUGUAAAUGGAUUUAACACCAUACAUCUUUUCAGGGUGACAUUGAAAGGCAUUAAGGAGGGCACACUGCAUCCUAAAAUGCCUAGCAGUAUGUAUGGGUUUGGGCUGAACGUGUGCCAAAAUGCUGUUGAUGUCAUGUGGAC